rnacentral:rRNA from 1 species
GUAGGUGGCAAGCGUUGUCCGGAAUUAUUGGGCGUAAAGCGCGCGCAGGCGGUUCUUUAAGUCUGAUGUGAAAGCCCACGGCUCAACCGUGGAGGGUCACUGGAAACUGGAGAACUUGAGUACAGAAGAGGAAAGCGGAAUUCCACGUGUAGCGGUGAAAUGCGUAGAGAUGUGGAGGAACACCAGUGGCGAAGGCGGCUUUCUGGUCUGUAACUGACGCUGAGGCGCGAAAGCGUGGGGGAGCAAACAGGAUUAGAUACCCUGGUAGUCCACGCCGUAAACGAUGAGUGCUAAGUGUUAGGGGGUUUCCGCCCCUUAGUGCUGCAGCUAACGCAUUAAGCACUCCGCCUGGGAGUACGGCCGCAAGGCUG